rnacentral:rRNA from 1 species
GACGAACGCUGGCGGCAUGCCUAAUACAUGCAAGUCGAACGCUGAAGCACUCUGCUUGCAGAGUGUGGAUGAGUGGCGAACGGGUGAGUAACACGCGGGGAAUCUGCCUAGGAGUGAGGGACAACAUUCGGAAACGGAUGCUAAUACCUUAUAUCUUAUUGGACCGCAUGGUCCAUUAAUGAAAGACGGCUUCGGCUGUCGCUCUUAGAUGAUCCCGCGGCGUAUUAGUUAGUUGGUGAGGUAAUGGCUCACCAAGACCAUGAUACGUAGCCGACCUGAGAGGGUGAUCGGCCACACUGGGACUGAGACACGGCCCAG